rnacentral:rRNA from 1 species
AUUGAACGCUGGCGGCAUGCUUUACACAUGCAAGUCGAACGGUAACAGGCCUUCGGGUGCUGACGAGUGGCGAACGGGUGAGUAAUGCAUCGGAACGUACCCAGAGGUGGGGGAUAACGCAGCGAAAGCUGUGCUAAUACCGCAUGUGAUCUGAGGAUGAAAGCGGGGGACCGAGCAGCAAUGUUUGGCCUCGCGCCUUUGGAGCGGCCGAUGUCGGAUUAGCUAGUUGGUGGGGUAAAGGCCUACCAAGGCGACGAUCCGUAGCUGGUCUGAGAGGACGACCGGCCACACUGGGACUGAGACACGGCCCAGACUCCUACGGGAGGCAGCAGUGGGGAAUUUUGGACAAUGGGCGAAAGCCUGAUCCAGCAAUGCCGCGUGCGGGAAGAAGGCCUUCGGGUUGUAAACCGCUUUUGGCAGGAACGAAACGGUGUCCGCUAAUACCGGGAGCUAAUGACGGUACCUGCAGAAUAAGCACCGGCUAACUACGUG